rnacentral:rRNA from 1 species
CCUACGGGAGGCUGCAGUGGGGAAUAUUGCACAAUGGGGGAGACCCUGAUGCAGCGACGCCGCGUGAGUGAAGAAGUAUCUCGGUAUGUAAAGCUCUAUCAGCAGGGAAGUUAAUGACGGUACCUGACUAAGAAGCCCCGGCUAACUACGUGCCAGCAGCCGCGGUAAUACGUAGGGGGCAAGCGUUAUCCGGAUUUACUGGGUGUAAAGGGUGCGUAGGUGGCAGGGCAAGUCAGAUGUGAAAGCCCGGGGCUCAACCCCGGUACUGCAUUUGAAACUGUCCAGCUGGAGUGCAGGAGAGGUAAGCGGAAUUCGUCGUGUAGCGGUGAAAUGCUUAGAUAUGACGAAGAACCCCGAUUGCGAAGGCAGCUUGCUGCAGCGGAACUGACGCUGAUGCUCGAAAGCGCGGGUAUCGAACAGGAUUAGAUACCCUUAUAGUC